GACCGCCAUCUUUGUUUCCAGGAGUGCGUCGACGCAGGAGCAGCUGUUCCUACGAGCCGUCAUCGCAGAGUUCAGGAGGCUGGGACUGGAGGAGGCCACCUUCCAACAGGUGCUGGUGCAGCACCAGGCUCUGUGUCGGGUGGAGGGCCUGCAGCCCGUCGGCGUGUCGGAGGGCCUGGCUGCGUGUCGGCGCCUGGGAGCCUGCAGGCUGCUGCUGCUGGAGCCCAGCCGCCUGGGGGUCCUGCAGAGGGUCCGGCUCAACGUGAGCCAGGACGACGUGCUCUUCGCCCUGAAGGCCGACUGACGAGGAAGAGGAGGAGGAAGAGGAAGCUCGGUUUUAAAUGUUUCUGUUUCAGCUGUUUUCCAUCUCUGGUGUUAUUAAAUGUUUCCGGUUCUCAAAGUACUUUAAUGUUUUCUGUCUUAAAUAUGCAAUAAAACCUUUAAACAAAA